rnacentral:rRNA from 1 species
GCCAGAGCCAGAUGUCCCUGCAGUUCUCGCCUGGUUUCCCACUGAAGCUAAGCAGGGUUGAAUCUGGCCAGUACCUGGAUGGGAGACCUCCUGGGGAAAACUAAGGUUGAUGCUGGAA